rnacentral:rRNA from 1 species
GGUGGCGACCGGCGCGACGGGUGAGUAACGCGUAUGCAACCUACCUAUCAGAGGGGAAUAACCCGGCGAAAGUCGGACUAAUACCGCAUAAAACAGGGGCACCGCAUGGUGAUAUUUGUUAAAGAAAUUCGCUGAUAGAUGGGCAUGCGUUCCAUUAGGUAGUUGGUGAGGUAACGGCUCACCAAGCCGACGAUGGAUAGGGAACUGAGAGGUUGGUCCCCCACACUGGUACUGAGACACGGACCAGACUCCUACGGGAGGCAGCAGUGAGGAAUAUUGGUCAAUGGGCGGGAGCCUGAACCAGCCAAGUCGCGUGAAGGAAGAAGGAUCUAUGGUUCGUAAAAACUUCUUUUGCAGGGGAAUAAAGUGCAGGACGUGUCCUGUUUUGUAUGUACCCUGAGAAUAAGGAUCGGCUAACUCCGUGCCAGCCGCCGC